CUCUCCAAGGGCACAGGAGAGAGAAAGCACAGUGAGUAGGAGGAACUGCGCCUACAGACAGAGUUCUGGAGGCUGCAAAGUCCAACAGCAAGAGCCUGUAUCUGCUGAGGGCCUUCCUGCUGGGACAUCCCAUGGUGGAAGGCAGAAGGCGAAAGGGCGAGAGAGCCAGAGAGCAAGCCAGCAAGAGGAGCCCCACACCGGCCUUCACAAAAACCACUAUCAGGCAUCGGAAAGUCUAAGCCAACUAUCGCCCACAGUUGGCACCCUGGAACAGGCGACUGCAGGAGCAGCAAGCAGCAGCAUUACCGGCCACUAGGCAGAGUACAACUAAUUCAGCCUACCAUCAGUGUGGCUACUGGAAGCAUUUUUCUUUCUGAAAGUAAAACACAGGUAGCCCGGCUCUUAAAAACGAUGACACACAACGUUCACAGGCAUGUUCACAUUCAUAAAUACACACGUGUGCACACAUACAUGCCCACAUGCGACACACGCGUACAUCAUACAGCAUGCACGUGUCCAUAAAUGAGCUCACACGGACAGCCACGUCUCGCGCCCAGGCCCCCAGCGACACAGGCCCCAAGCAGGGCCUCCACCUGUGUGGAGAGAGCGGCUCAGACAGCGAAGCCCCAGCGCCUUGCAAUGUUCACCUCACCGGCGGCUUCUGGCGUGGCCACGGCUCCUUCCUUUUCUGGUAAUAAAUACCAGAUUUGGGGAAACCAA